rnacentral:lncRNA from 1 species
UGCCAUUGAUCAAUUGCAAUUUAUUUUCUUUAUUAUUUUUGCACCACAAAUCCAUGAUCUUUUUUUUUAUUUUUAUUUUUAAGUCUUAAUUAAUCCUGUUUUAACACAACUGUUCAACGCCGAGAGUCCUCUGGGAUACAAUACUCGAUCUUACCAUUUUAUAUUUCUUGUACGACUCGGUACACUUGCCGAUUUGCCCCAACAGCAACCUAGUUACUCCUGAUUGAACGUGUUUCGUAGUUCCUUGUCAACAAUCUAAUUGAUCCUGGUUGAAAGUGUUUCAUACUUUCCUAUCGAUUACCUGGCCUAUCCUAA